GAGGUUGUUAUCGGAGCAGUGUUCCGACAGCACGAUAUGAGCAGAGAAAGAGAGAGAGAAGGAGAGAGAGAAACUUACCUGUUGGAACCGGCGUUAGUGAUAGCCUCAGACAAGGGAGCGGUGAGAGAAGGCGAAGAGAGCGAGGAGAGAGAAGAGAGAGAAAAAAAAAACUCUCAUAUAUAAAGUAAACAUAUCAGGAAAUUAAGGGGAGUCAAUACAUAGUAUAAAUACAUAUAAUUUAUUUUUUUACCUACC
rnacentral:lncRNA from 1 species